UGUUUCGGCUAGGGGGUCAUCCCGACUUACCAACCCGAUGCAAACUGCGAAUACCGAAGAAUGUUAUCACGGGAGACACACGGCGGGUGCUAACGUCCGUCGUGAAGAGGGAAACAACCCAGACCGCCAGCUAAGGUCCCAAAGUCAUGGUUAAGUGGGAAACGAUGUGGGAAGGCACAGACAGCCAGGAUGUUGGCUUAGAAGCAGCCAUCAUUUAAAGAAAGCGUAAUAGCUCACUGGUCGAGUCGGCCUGCGCGGAAGAUGUAACGGGGCUAAACCAUGCACCGAAGCUGCGGCAGCGACACUAUGUGUUGUUGGGUAGGGGAGCGUUCUGUAAGCCGUUGAAGGUGUGCUGUGAGGCAUGCUGGAGGUAUCAGAAGUGCGAAUGCUGACAUAAGUAACGAUAAUGCGGGUGAAAAACCCGCACGCCGGAAGACCAAGGGUUCCUGUCCAACGUUAAUCGGGGCAGGGUGAGUCGACCCCUAAGGCGAGGCCGAAAGGCGUAGUCGAUGGGAAACAGGUUAAUAUUCCUGUACU
rnacentral:rRNA from 1 species